rnacentral:rRNA from 1 species
ACCUACCUUGUACAGGAGGAUAGCUCGGGGAAACCCGAAUUAACCCUCCAUAAGAUCAUAGAAUGGCAUCAUUUAGUGAUUAAAACUCAGGUGGUACAAGAUGGGCAUGCGUCUGAUUAGUUAGUUGGCGGUGUAACGGACCACCAAGACGAUGAUCAGUAGGGGAACUGAGAGGUUGAUCCCCCACACUGGCACUGAGAUACGGGCCAGACUCCUACGGGAGGCAGCAGUAGGGAAUAUUGGUCAAUGGAUGCAAGUCUGAACCAGCCAUGCCGCGUGCAGGAAGAAGGCCUUCUGGGUUGUAAACUGCUUUUGCCAGGGGAUAAAACGACCUUGCGAGGUUAAUUGAAGGUACCUGGUGAAUAAGCCACGGCUAACUACGUGCCAGCAGCCGCGGUAAUACGUAGGUGGCAAGCGUUGUCCGGAUUUAUUGGGUUUAAAGGGUGCGUAGGCGGCCCUGUAAGUCAGUGCUGAAAUAUCCCGGCUUAACCGGGAGGGUGGCAUUGAUACUGCAGGGCUUGAAUGAAGUUGAAGUGGGCGGAAUUGACGGUGUAGCGGUGAAAUGCUUAGAUAUCGUCAAGAACACCGAUAGUGAAGACAGCUCACUAAGCUUAUAUUGACGCUGAGGCACGAAAGCGUGGGGAUCAAACAGGAUUAGAUACCCUGGUAGUCCACGCCCUAAACUAUGGAUACUCGACAUACGCGAUACACUGUGUGUGUCUGAGCGAAAGCAUUAAGUAUCCCACCUGGGAAGUACGACCGCAAGGUUGAAACUCAAAGGAAUUGGCGGGGGUCCGCACAAGCGGAGGAGCAUGUGGUUUAAUUCGAUGAUACGCGAGGAACCUUACCAAGGCUUAAAUGUAGAUUGACAGGACCGGAAACGGUUUUUUCUUCGGACAAUUUACAAGGUGCUGCAUGGUUGUCGUCAGCUCGUGCCGUGAGGCGUCAGGUUAAGUCCUAUAACGAGCGCAACCCCUGUUGUUAGUUGCCAGCGAGUCAUGUCGGGAACUCUAGCAAGACUGCCAGUGCAAACUGUGAGGAAGGUGGGGAUGACGUCAAAUCAUCAUGCCCCUUAUGUCUUGGGCUGCACACAUGCUACAAUGGCCGGUACAAAGGGCUGCGAUACCGUGAGGUGGAGCGAAUCCCAAAAAGCCGGUCUCAGUUCGGAUUGGGGUCUGCAACUCGACCCCAUGAAGUUGGAGUCGCUAGUAAUCGCAGAUCAGCAACGCUGCGGUGAAUACGUUCCCGGGCCUUGUACACACCGCCCGUCACGUCACGAAAGUCGGUA